GCUGACAUAGCUCAGUUGGUAGAGCAGCGGUUUUGUAAACCGCAGGUCGAGGGUUCGAGUCCCCCUGUCAGCU
rnacentral:tRNA from 1 species